GUGCAAGUUUCUUUUGCCUUAGGGUGAGCCAACCAGAGCCAACCUGUCAACCAGUCCCAAGAGUGACCAUCAGCGAGUAAACAGAGAUCACAAGCAAAAGCAUGGCACGCAAACUUUUUGUAGUCAUCGUGCUCUUUCUCCUGGUGGGGAGUCUGACUGCGCAGACACCAGAUGAGGAUGGCAUCAUCCUGUCUGAACUGUACAACACCCCAGCAGAGGAUCUGCAAGAUGCUGUGGCGCCCGUGCGUGCCAAGCGUUUCUUUCUUGGCCAUCUCUUUAGGUUGGGAACUCGUAUAGCAGGCAAGAUCUUGCGUCAUUAUCCUCACCAGGACCAUGAAUAGGGAGCACUGCAACAGUAUCCCCCCUCACAUGUGCACCGCCACACCUGUGAGCCGACAGUGAAGCAUCGAGGCAUCUCAACUCCACUCGUUCAGAGUGAGAAUCUGUGAAAUCAUCACAAUGCCGCCGAAACUCUCCUGUUUGUGAAGAAAUAAAGAAAUUCUGCAGCAUUUACCUCUCUGUGCUCAUGUCAUCAUUUUCCUUAAGAACUUACAUUGCCCUUUCUCUCUCAUAUGGAAACAUAUGGAAAGGGUAAUUAUUUUCGCAUGGUGUAAAUAUGUUUUACUUUGUAUUAUCUAAUCAUGUAAUAUAAUCUAUAUUUUCAUAAACAAAUCUUAUCAUAAAAACCCAU
ensembl:lncRNA